CGAAGGAUGGCACUCAAAAUGAUCUUAGGAAAGGCUCUAGAGUAGAUUUGCAAAGCAAGAAACAAUUAUAAGUUGCAGAUAUGACCAAUUCAACUCAAACUAAAAAUUAGGAAAAAGUGUUUGAUGAAAUGCCUAAAAGAGCUGCUGGAAAAUAUGCAUCAGAUUUUAAAAGUUGCUUGGCACUGGUUCAUACAGCUUUUUACAAUGCAGUUUAUGGCAAAUUUUGAAUUGUUCGCUUCUUUUUAAUCAAUUGAACCAAGCUUUUGCUACCAAUUUGAGAUGGAAUUUGAUGCAAUAAUCACAGCAACAAAGAUUCACAAAAUUCUGCAACUUAAACCAAAAAAAAGUGUUGAAAAAUUGGUGGUUUGGAUAGCAAUCUUGCACAAACAAGCUUGAACACUUAAUUGUAUGACUUGAGCAACUUUGUUUUAUCAAAUGGAACUUGUUUCAGCUGCCANCCGAGGCUAAACACUUGUAACUCAAAAUUUCACUGUNUGAGUUGCUCUUUAACACCAAAAUUGGUGGUUUGGAUAACAAUUUUGCACAAACGUGUUUAGACUGCCAAUUUAAUGAUUCAAGCAACUUUAGUUUACCAAAAUGGACUUGUGUAAGNUNCCAGCAGAGNNUGGAUGNUAUCAAAUCAAAAUUUNACUCAUUCAGUUGCUCUUUUCACCACAUUUAAGAUAACUAACCAACCAAUUUUCAGCAGAAGAAUCAAUAUGAACAAGUUUUAUGACCAUAGGACAACAAGUCAAAUGUGAACAAGACUCUAGGAAUUACUGAAAAGAGGUCCAGAGGUGAUUUCUAUACUGGANAGAUUUAAAAAUCAUAAAACAACUCAAUCAAAGUGUGUGCAGCUCGGUCCAACUGUUCUAGCAAUUACUUCCGUGUUCUGCUUAAUUUGCAGUUUUCAUAUGAUAUGCACGCAUCUCAUUUGCAGCAACUUAGAUCCAACCAGAAAUGCAAUUGUUCAUACGG
rnacentral:lncRNA from 1 species